ensembl:lncRNA PPP1CB-DT PPP1CB divergent transcript
AGGCACCAGGUCAGUCCAAUUCUAAAGCCCUGGCUGGAAUACCCAGGCAGUGUGAUUUAGAGAUGCUGGGCUAGUUAGGUGGACUAGCUCUGGGACUCUGUUGUGAGAAAAAGUGAGUGGCGAUGGGGUGGGGCAGCGGAUGUAACUUGAUGGCAAGGAUUGUCAACUUACAGCAGGAAAAUUUUGGGUGAGGAGGAGCAGAAUAUGGGUGGUUCUGGCAGCGAGACAGUCUUCAGGAAUGAGAAGGAGAGGUCAUCCCCAGCUACCUCCAGGAGAAAGAUUUUUCCUACCAGGAAGAGCAUGUGCUGACCAACAGACAUGAAUUUCAGCCUGGUAGUUACAACAUUCACAGGAGUUUCACUCGUUGCCCAGGCUGGAGUGCAACGGCGCGAUCUCAGCUCACUGCAACCUCCGCCUCCCCAGUUCAAGCGAUUCUCCUGCCUCAGCCUCCUGAGUCACUGGAAUUACGGGCGCCUGACACCACGCCCAGCUAAUUUUUUGUAUUUUUAGUAGACAUGGGGUUUCACUAUGUUGGCCAGGCUGGUCUCGAACUCCUGACCUCAUGAUCCUCCUGCCUCAGCCUCCCAAAGCACUGGGAUUACAGGUGUGAGCCACUGUGCCUGGUCCAUUAAAAACAUUUGUAAAGCUAUGGUGUUGAUAAAGUAUUAUGAAAGACUGCAAAAAAAGAUGGCUAAUUUUUAGUUAUUAUUGCACAUGUUUAGAGGAGCUAAUGACAUUUUCUAUGAUUAAUAAAAGACAUUAUUUAUGUUUUUAUUUAUGUAUUCCACAACAUUUAUUUUAUUUUCUCCAUUUCAGGAAAACCACUAUGUUGUUACAAUAAAGAUUUUCAUGUAAUUUGUGUUCAAUUGAUAGUAAUAAUGUAACAAGUUAAAAAUGAAGGUAAUUGUGUUUAAAAUUUGAGCAUAUUUUCAUCAAAAUGUAAGUUAAAGUGAUUGUAAAUUUUAAGAUCAUAAUUACUUUGUAUAUCUUCAAGAAAAUUAUUGUUUUAAAAUAUUUAUGCCUAUUAAAAUUAGAAGGCAAAAUAAAAAUAUAUGAAUACCAACAUUUUAAAUAAAAAUCAUUUAAAUAAA